rnacentral:rRNA from 1 species
GAUGAACGCUGGCGGCGUGCCUCAUACAUGCCAGUCGAGCGGACCGUUGACGGGUGAGUAACACGUCGAUAACCUCCUCUCAGACUGGGAUAACUUAGGGAAAACGGAGCCAACCCGGAUACUUAUAGUUGGAUCCGCGCUGCAUUAGCUAGUUGGUAAGGUAACGGCUUAACAAGGCAACGAAGCAUAGCCGACCUGAGAGGCUGAUCGGCAACACUGGAACUGAGAUACGGUCCAGCCUCCUACGUGAGGCAGGAUUAGGGAAUCUUCCCCAAUGGGCGAAGGCCUGACGGAGCGACGCCUCGGAAGUUAUGAAGGUCUUCGGAUCGUAAAACUCUGUUAUUAGGGAAGCGGUACCUAAGCAGAAAGCCACGGCUAACUACGUACCAGCAGCCGCGGUAAUAC